AUUUAACAGCUCCUUCUUGGGUGCAUGUGCUACAGACUCAACAGUGUGAUAUCCAGCUUCUUCUAAUUUCUUCACAUCAUUUGCAUUUAUACCACAUUGCUCUAGCCUAGAUAUGGGCUCUGGCCCAAAGCUCUCCUCCUCUGCGGAUGUGUCGGUGCUUGCCUCGAACUGCACCUGCAUGGCCAUGGCUGCAGCCGCCCUUAACCCAGCGUUAUUUUUCAAACUUCUCCUCACGGGCCCGCCUCAACCGCCACUCCUCCUCAAGGCCGCAGCCGCCCGCUGCAACCCGCGCGGGACGCCGCGGCCAUUACCGUUCGCGGCCGCCACCGCUUCGGAGGAGCCCGCCACCG
rnacentral:lncRNA from 1 species